rfam:Parcubacteria bacterium GW2011_GWA1_47_9 TY14_C0017, whole genome shotgun sequence.
GGAAGCGUGGCUGAGUGGUUGAAGGCACCGCACUCGAAAUGCGGCAUGGGGGAAACCCCAUCGGAGGUUCGAAUCCUCCCGCUUCCG